CGGAGGGUGCGAGCGUUAAUCGGAAUUACUGGGCGUAAAGAGUGCGUAGGUGGUUAGAUAAGUUAUCUGUGAAAUCCCUGGGCUUAACCUGGGCAGGUCAGAUGAUACUGUUUAACUCGAGUAUGGGAGAGGGUAGUGGAAUUUCCGGUGUAGCGGUGAAAUGCGUAGAGAUCGGAAGGAACACCAGUGGCGAAGGCGGCUACCUGGCCUAAUACUGACACUGAGGCACGAAAGCGUGGGGAGCAAACAGGAUUAGAUACCCUGGUAGUCCACGCCGUAAACGAUGUCAACUAGCUGUUGGUUAUAUGAAUAUAAUUAGUGGCGCAGCAAACGCGAUAAGUUGACCGCCUGGGGAGUACGGUCGCAAGAUUA
rnacentral:rRNA from 1 species